rnacentral:rRNA from 1 species
UACGUAGGGGGCAAGCGUUAUCCGGAAUUAUUGGGUUUAAAGGGUGCGUAGGCGGGCUUUUAAGUCAGCGGUAUAAAUUCGGGGCUCAACCCCGUCCGGCCGUUGAAACUGGGGGCCUUGAGUGGGCGAGAAGAAGGCGGAAUGCGUGGUGUAGCGGUGAAAUGCAUAGAUAUCACGCAGAACCCCGAUUGCGAAGGCAGCCUUCCGGCGCCCUACUGACGCUGAGGCACGAAAGUGCGGGGAUCGAACAGG